AUGCAAGUAGAACGCUGAAGGAGGAGCUUGCUCUCUCUGGAUGAGUUGCGAACGGGUGAGUAACGCGUAGGUAACCUGCCUGGUAGCGGGGGAUAACUAUUGGAAACGAUAGCUAAUACCGCAUAACAGUAGAUGUUGCAUGACAUUUGCUUAAAAGGUGCAAUUGCAUCACUACCAGAUGGACCUGCGUUGUAUUAGCUAGUUGGUGGGGUUACGGCUCACCAAGGCGACGAUACAUAGCCGACCUGAGAGGGUGAUCGGCCACACUGGGACUGAGACACGGCCCAAACUCCUACGGGAGGCAGCAGUAGGGAAUCUUCGGCAAUGGACGGAAGUCUGACCGAGCAACGCCGCGUGAGUGAAGAAGGUUUUCGGAUCGUAAAGCUCUGUUGUAAGAGAAGAACGAGUGUGAGAGUGGAAAGUUCACACUGUGACGGUAUCUUACCAGAAAGGGACGGCUAACUACGUGCCAGCAGCCGCGGUAAUACGUAGGUCCCGAGCGUUGUCCGGAUUUAUUGGGCGUAAAGCGAGCGCAGGCGGUUAGAUAAGUCUGAAGUUAAAGGCUGUGGCUUAACCAUAGUACGCUUUGGAAACUGUUUAACUUGAGUGCAAGAGGGGAGAGUGGAAUUCCAUGUGUAGCGGUGAAAUGCGUAGAUAUAUGGAGGAACACCGGUGGCGAAAGCGGCUCUCUGGCUUGUAACUGACGCUGAGGCUCGAAAGCGUGGGGAGCAAACAGGAUUAGAUACCCUGGUAGUCCACGCCGUAAACGAUGAGUGCUAGGUGUUAGACCCUUUCCGGGGUUUAGUGCCGUAGCUAACGCAUUAAGCACUCCGCCUGGGGAGUACGACCGCAAGGUUGAAACUCAAAGGAAUUGACGGGGGCCCGCACAAGCGG
rnacentral:rRNA from 1 species